rnacentral:rRNA from 1 species
GCGCAGCAGGCGCGAAACCUCCGCAAUACACGAAAGUGUGACGGGGCCAUCCCGAGUGCCGUCCGCUGAGGACGGCUUUUCCCCAGUGUACACAGCUGGGGGAAUAAGGAGAGGGCAAGCCUGGUGUCAGCCGCCGCGGUAAGUACCAGCUCUCCGAGUGGUGGGGACGCUUAUUGGGCCUAAAGCAAGUCCGUAGCCGGCUGGGCAAGUCCUCCGUUAAAUCCAACGAUUCAAUCGUUGGGCUGCGGGGGAUACUGGUCCAGCUUGGGGGCGGGAGAGGCCGACGGUAGUCCCGGGGUA